GAGCAAUGAGAUAUGAUCGUCUCAAUAUGGCUACUAGUAAGGCACUUGAAAUCCUAUAGAAUCGGCUAAGUGUUCGAUACGUCUGCCUUCCAGUCAAAUUUUGUGAAACUCCGUUGGGAAUUUGAGAAAAUGUCCUUGAUGAAAGUUGUAGACCUUUGAAAUAGCUUUCUAAAGGUAUAUUAUGGGUCUUGAACGGAGCUGUGUACAAAAAGUUAUGCCCAUUUUACUGAAGCAUGUUCGCUGGAAAUCCUGCCUGUGUUACGGUGGACGUUACGGGCCGUAACACGUGUUACGGGACCGUAACAUGGAGCUGUAACGUCUCAAAAAUUUCCAGAACUCACUGGAAAUUUUCACUAAGGUACGGUCCCAAGUUACGGGACGUCCUUCAUGUUACGGAGCGUCAUCUGGGGGCGUUUUUGGUCCGUUAAGUACGUUUUCGGGUCACCUGACUUCGAGAGGCCAUAACCCUAUCAUUUAUUGGGAAUUUGGGAAAACUCAAAGAACGAAAGUUGUAGAUAAUUGAAAUACCUUUCCAACCAUACAUCGUGGACCUACAGGUGACAUCGGGAUAGGAAGAUAUGAACGUAAGGUCCCAACCCGAUUUCAAGUCGGGUCAAACCCAUUUCCCCUUGGUAUUUAAGGGAAAUGCUCAACCCUAGCAGCCCCAUUUUCUCAUAUUUUCAGAUUUUAGAGAGAGAGAGAGGGAUAGAGAGGAGAGUUAGAGAGAGAAAGUAGAGAAUCAACCAAGUUGAAGGCCCCGAAUCCCGAGGCUCGUGAAGGAUAAAGUGUAGUACAAGUUGUUGCCGUCAUUCUAAGCUAAAAAUCGAACUUGGGGAGGUUGAUUUCGUGGUGAAUACUCAUAAAAGGUAAUGUUUCUACUCCCUAAUCAUUUAUAGUUGUGAAUUGAUGAAUUCUUGGGAGAAUAAUAAUUGGGUUUGAUGAAGAGAAUUAUAUGAACUAUGCUAGAGUUGUUGGAUUGUUAACUUGGGAUUGUUGUAUUCAUAUGGGUGAUGAAUAAUAAUGUUAAUUACAUCUAAUUGAGAUGGUAGAAUCAUCUAAAAGUAAUAGAAUGGGGAUUGGGUGAAGAAAACACCAUUAAUGAAGGUUGUGGAGCUUCAUGCCCACCAAGUGUUUGAUAAAAUGCUUAGAUGAACAAAGCAUGGAUAUUGUUGCUAAUAUAGAAUCCCUAUGACCUGUAUUGCUAUAGAUUAAAGUUGAAGGGAUUGGAGGACACUGUGAUACGCUCAAAAGCAGGAAGUUAAGGUACUGAUAUACAGGACGACACAUCUGCUCAGUAGAACAGCAUUCACAUCAGCUUAUUGGUGAGCCCCAUUUCAUUCGGGGUUUAGUCAACUUUUGUUUUAUGAUUAAUUAUGCAUCUAAAGGUAUGCUGGGGGCCUUGUCCCAGUAAGUAUGUUUUCCAGUCAGACUCAUGAUAGAGGUUUCAUAGACUAGACAAGUCAGUUAUAUCAUGUCAGAUAUUCGGAGUCGUA